rnacentral:rRNA from 1 species
UGCGUAGGCGGCGCGGUAAGUCGGGUGUGAAAUCUCGGAGCUUAACUCCGAAACUGCAUUCGAUACUGCCGUGCUUGAGGACUGGAGAGGAGACUGGAAUUUACGGUGUAGCGGUGAAAUGCGUAGAUAUCGUAAGGAAGACCAGUGGCGAAGGCGGGUCUCUGGACAGUUCCUGACGCUGAGGCACGAAGGCCAGGGGAGGCAAACG